AAGCCCAUGAGUUGGACAUAGAGCUCGAUAGUACUUGAAACUCUCCCAUAAUGAAUAUAAUUGUUCCCCAGGGAGAUGUUUGAACUCAAAGAUCUUAUCUCGAAGUUU